UUCUAUUAAUGAUGCAAAAUGAUCCUUUUGCCUAGGGUUGGGUUCCGACUACAACAAAGUCGGAAAGCCCAACUCUAAACUCCAAAGUCGAAAUUGGGUUCCGUCUCUGACUCUGAUUAAAAGCAGACUCCGACUUCGAUCUGAAUUGUUGGAGUUAGAGUCGGAGUGUUGGAGCCAACGGUGAGAGAGAGAGAGAGAGAGAGAGAGAGAGAGAGCCUUGGUGGCUGCCAUCGUCAAACGGUGAUGGUGUCGACAUUGCUAAAGCCAAUGGAACCACUUUCCGCAAGAACUUGAGUUUCCCUUGCUGCCUAUCAGACAUCUCCAUACCGAUGGAUGAGUGAGUUAGCAGGUGAAAAUGAAGAUUUGAUUAACUUGGAUGCUUUGGACUCAUAAAGUUUUCAAAAUGAGAGAACUAAAAGCGAUACGAAGGAAACGAUAAAAGUAUGGAAGUUUUUUUUUGAGAUGGUUCCUAAUUCUGACAAUUGAUGGUAAGACGACGUGUAGAUGAGGUCGGUAUGGACCAGUGGAACGAGCUAGACGACGAGUACGCUUUCGUAUACACGAACCCUGACAAGGGUUCGAAGAAGGUGCUCGUCAAGUGCCUUGCGAUGGAAGAUAAAUUGCUAGUGGAUGCUCUUGCUGACGGGGCUUCCGAGGCGGUCCAUCUCUAAAUUAGCUAGGGGUUUCCUUUUACUUUGUUCCUCUUUUCGCUUUCGAUUGGGUAUUUUCGGUUCGCUUAAAUUUUUUUUCUUCAGUUCCGUUUAUGGGGUUGGUGGGUUUUUCAUUGCAGUGUUGAAGACUAUGCUGGAGAAAAUGGGGGUACCAAUUAUUCUGCGCAAUAUAAGAAUCUGGCGGAGCUGGUGAAGAAACUGGAUACUGAAGUCCUUUCUAAAUUAGAUGGAUCCUCACUACCGAGUUCAUCAGAUAAUGCUUCAAGCUUGGAGACCAGUGAAGCAAGAAGAAGCGACAUUAGCGCUGCUGUUCCAAUUGGUGGACGUUCAAGCCCUGAAACUCAUCCUGCAUGUCUGCCACAGCCACCCUCUGCACAGUUUUGUGAGAAUACCUUCGAGCCAAGAACACAAAAAAAAGCAUGUUCACAGCAGAAAUUCCAGCCAACAGCCAAUAGAAUUUGUCCAAACGGCUAGUAUUCAAAUCUUUACCAAACCAACCGUGUCCAUCCGUCUUGGUUAAACGUCCAACAAUGGUUAUCAACCAACCACUCACGAAGUUUGCAGCUCCUAUAACACUUGGGUAUAAUGCAAUGCCUAAGCUCCGCAUAGAUUCUGGGACUUCUUCAUAAAAAUACUCCUGCAAGCCCACUAAAGCAAAUCCAUCUCCAAUACCGAGGAUGAGAAAUUGGGGAGCCAACCAGAAAACACUCAUGGAAAGUGAACUCUUUCUGGGAUCAUUCUCCACUACGCCUAGCCUUUUCUUCUCAACAAGGGCUGCAACUACCAUUACAAGAAUGGAGAACAGCAUUCCAAUACCAAUCCUCUGUAGGAUAGUGAUUCCUCUCUCGUUUCCUGUUGCCUUUCUUAGAGUGGGAACGAGGAUCUUCUCGUAGAUGGUGACAGAGAUAAUCAUUCCAAUGGAAGCAACGGCGGAAAUUGAGACCGGGGGAAGCUCGAAGCCAUUUCCAAUCUUUCGGUUUAGUACAACACCUUGUUUGAUAAAAAAGGUGGUGCGUUGUGCUGUACAAAUUCCAAAUGGCAAAGUAGCAAGCCAUAUGGGGAUCAUGUUCAGAACAAGCUUCAACUCCUCAACCUUUGUCACGGUCGCAAGUUUCCAAGGAUUCUGCUUCUCAUCUGGAUUAUGCUUGUCUCCAAGAACAGCUGCUUUGUCGAGAAAUCUGAAAUAGAAUACCCAGAAAAAUUAUUCAUCGCUCCAGUGAAUCUCCCUUUGGUCUUCUCUGCCUUGGGAAUUUCAAACAAUUGAGCAACACUGGAAGGAUAAGGAAGAUUUCUCUUGCGAAUGGCUGCUACAAGAACUUGCAACAAUUGCAUCAAGGGGCUCCCACUUGAAUGUCUGUAACGAUAAAAUGGCCUUCCUGUGAUGAAGAUAACCAACGACACUGCCAUGACUGCCGUGAGUAUGAUAUAUGAAGCACCCCAGUUCACAUGGUCUUGCACAUACACAAUCACAGUCACACCAAGUAGAAGUCCAGCACAAUGGCCAAAGUUCCACCAGUUGAAGUAUGUCAUCUUCUGCCUUCUUUCUUCAGUGUGAUCAUCAUCAAACUGGUCCGCUCCAAAGCUCUCCAAAGACGGUUUAAGCCCUCCAGUUCCUACCGAGAUCAUGUAAAUGGCAAGGAAAAAAACCACCUCGUGAACCUUCCUAGGCUUUAUGCACAUAUCAGUCUCACAAGCCUUUAAUCCUGGUAUGAACCAAGACAACGUCAGGAGGAUCAGACCCUGCAUUAUGUCAAUAUCAAGCACAGAAUUUUGUCAGUCUUAAGACCCUGAAAUGUACAAAAUUUUUAGACUAAUGAUCUGGUCUUUAGAUUUAAAGGAGAAUUACCAUGAGAUAGAUUAUGGUUGACACGAGCGCUGUCGAGAAUCUGCCUAAGCAAGCAUCAGCUAUGAACCCUCCCAACAGUGGCAUCAAAUUAGUAACACCAGACCAGUAGUUCACGUACUUGGUUGCUGUCUCAAGGUCUUGAAGCAUUACUUUACUGAGGUAAAGGAUCAAGCUGGGUGCAAUUCCAAAGUAACUCAAUCUCUCACUGAACUCGAUUGCUGCCCAAAUGAUCAAACACAGUCACAAAAAUUAAUUUAGUUAAAGAUAAUUAGCUUUCUUGUACCGGUCUCCGUCAUAUGCAUGUUACAACUUUAAAUGCUUAUUGCUCGUUUCAAUAUAUAUUUUGAUUCUCUGGCGAGAUUUAAACC